GCGGGCAUAGUUCAGUGGUAGAACGGCAGCCUUCCAAGCUGCAUACACGAGUUCGAGUCUCGUUGCCCGCU
rnacentral:tRNA from 1 species